CCCUUAGAUGUUCUGGGCCGCACGCGCGCUACACUGAUACGUUCAGCGAGUAUAUAACCUUGAUUGGAAAAUCUGGGUAAUCUUUUGAAUGCGUAUCGUGCUAGGGAUAGAUUAUUGCAAUUAUUAAUCUUGAACGAGGAAUUCCUAGUAAACGCAAGUCAUCAGCUUGCAUUGAUUACGUCCCUGCCCUUUGUACACACCGCCUGUCGCACAAACCGAUUGAAUGAUUCGGUGAAAAUUUUGGACAUCGAGAGUGGUGAUUAAUUUCGCUGCUCUUAAAUGGAAAGAAUUUAAACCUAAUUAUUUAGAGGAUUGUGAAGUCGUAACA
rnacentral:rRNA from 1 species